ACUGUGAUUUCCAGUUUAGUAACUAAUAAAAUUAAUUCCUUUCCAGGCGUUGCUGACCACAGCAUUCAUCGUAGUCGGCAACAUCAAAACCCUCAUAGAAUUCGCGAGCUGGUUUCUCUGGUUCUUCUACGGGUUGGCCAUGGUCGCUCUACUAGUGCUGCGAAAGACGCAAGCUAAAAAACCUCGACCGUACCGAGUCCCGACGCUAGUGCCGUGCUUCGUGCUACUCGUAGCGAUAUUCUUAUCGAUACUGCCGAUUGUCCACGACCCGUCGGUGAAAUAUCUCAUGGCAGUCGGGUUCAUAGUCCUGGGGGUGCUGGUAUACACCGUGUUUGUGUAUCACAAAAAGACGCCGACUGCUUUACUCGAAAAAUUCACAUUCCUAACGCAAGUUCUGUUCGAGAGCGUCCCGCCGAGCAAUCGUCAAGACUGAUCACUGUUGUUUUAAGUGCAUGUUUGUAAAUAUUAGUAUUAGAAUAUUAAAUAAAGGACAUAUUUUAGUAAAUA